ensembl:misc_RNA Metazoa_SRP Metazoan signal recognition particle RNA
GCUGGGCGUGGUGGUGGGCACCUGUAAUCCCAGCUACUCGGGAGGCUGAGGCAGGAGAAUUGUUUGAACCCAGGAGGUGGAGUUUGCAGUGAGCUGAGAUCAUGCCACUGCACACUCCAGCCUGGGCAACAUAACGAGACUCCGUCUCAA